UACGUAGGGGGCAAGCGUUGUCCGGAUUUAUUGGGCGUAAAGAGCGUGUAGGCGGCCUGAAAGGUCAGCUGUGAAAACUCGAGGCUCAACCUCGAGACGUCGGUUGAAACCAUCUGGCUAGAGUCCGGAAGAGGCGAGUGGAAUUCCUGGUGUAGCGGUGAAAUGCGCAGAUAUCAGGGGGAACACCGAUGGCGAAGGCAGCUCGCUGGGACGGUACUGACGCUGAGGCGCGAAAGCGUGGGGAGCAAACAGG
rnacentral:rRNA from 1 species